rnacentral:tRNA from 1 species
GCUUGGCUGGUUCAGUAGGUAGAACAUGUGACUCUUGAUCUUGUGAUUGUGGGUUCGAGCCCCAUGUUGGGUG